rnacentral:rRNA from 1 species
UACGAGGGGGGCAAGCGUUGUUCGGAAUUAUUGGGCGUAAAGGGUGCGUAGGCGGCGCGGUAUGUCUCUUGUGAAAUCCCCGGGCUUAACCUGGGAACUGCAUUUGUGACUGCAUAGCUAGAGUACGGUAGAGGGGGAUGGAAUUCCGCGUGUAGCAGUGAAAUGCGUAGAUAUGCGGAGGAACACCGAUGGCGAAGGCAAUCCCCUGGACCUGUACUGACGCUCAUGCACGAAAGCGUGGGGAGCAAACAGG